rnacentral:lncRNA from 1 species
CCCGCAUCUUCUCAUCCACCGGGGCCACCCCUACCUUCUGUCGAAUAACUUCAUUCUUAAUCUUAUCUAGCCUGGUGUGCCCACACAUCCACCGAAGCAUCCUCAUCUCCGCAACCUUCUUUCUCUGAACAUGGGAGUUCUUCACGGGCCAGCACUCCGCCCCAUAGAACAUCGCAGGUCUAACCAUGGCUCUGUAGAAUUUCCCCUUGAGUUUGAGUAGAAUUUUCUUGUCACACAGGACCCCUGAAGCAAGCCUCCACUUUG